CUUUUGAGAGCUGUGUGCAUGCAUAUAUAUAUAUAUAUAUAUAUAUAUGCACACACAGCCCUCAGAAG